UUAAGUUAGAAAGGGCGCACGGUGGAUGCCUUGACACUAGGAGUCGAUGAAGGACGGGACUAACGCCGAUAUGCUUCGGGGAGCUGUAAGUAAGCUUUGAUCCGAAGAUUUCCGAAUGGGGAAACCCACCAUACGUAAUGGUAUGGUAUCCUUAUCUGAAUACAUAGGGUAAGGAAGACAGACCCAGGGAACUGAAACAUCUAAGUACCUGGAGGAAGAGAAAGCAAAUGCGAUUUCCUGAGUAGCGGCGAGCGAAACGGAACAUAGCCCAAACCAAGAGGCUUGCCUCUUGGGGUUGUAGGACAUUCUAUACGGAGUUACAAAGGAACGAGGUAGACGAAGCGACCUGGAAAGGUCCGUCGUAGAGGGUAACAACCCCGUAGUCGAAACUUCGUUCUCUCUUGAAUGUAUCCUGAGUACGGCGGAACACGUGAAAUUCCGUCGGAAUCUGGGAGGACCAUCUCCCAAGGCUAAAUACUCCCUAGUGAUCGAUAGUGAACCAGUACCGUGAGGGAAAGGUGAAAAGCACCCCGGAAGGGGAGUGAAAGAGAUCCUGAAACCGUGUGCCUACAAAUAGUCAGAGCCCGUUAACGGGUGAUGGCGUGCCUUUUGUAGAAUGAACCGGCGAGUUACGAUCCCGUGCGAGGUUAAGCUGAAGAGGCGGAGCUGCAGCGAAAGCGAGUCUGAAUAGGGCGUUUAGUACGUGGUCGUAGACCCGAAACCAGGUGAUCUACCCAUGUCCAGGGUGAAGUUCAGGUAACACUGAAUGGAGGCCCGAACCCACGCACGUUGAAAAGUGCGGGGAUGAGGUGUGGGUAGCGGAGAAAUUCCAAUCGAACCUGGAGAUAGCUGGUUCUCCCCGAAAUAGCUUUAGGGCUAGCCUUAAGUGUAAGAGUCUUGGAGGUAGAGCACUGAUUGGACUAGGGGUCCUCAUCGGAUUACCGAAUUCAGUCAAACUCCGAAUGCCAAUGACUUAUCCUUAGGAGUCAGACUGCGAGUGAUAAGAUCCGUAGUCAAAAGGGAAACAGCCCAGACCGCCAGCUAAGGUCCCAAAGUGUGUAUUAAGUGGAAAAGGAUGUGGAGUUGCUUAGACAACUAGGAUGUUGGCUUAGAAGCAGCCACCAUUUAAAGAGUGCGUAAUAGCUCACUAGUCGAGUGACUCUGCGCCGAAAAUGUACCGGGGCUAAAUACACCACCGAAGCUGCGGAUUGAUACCGAAUGGUAUCAGUGGUAGGGGAGCGUUCUAAGGACAGUGAAGUCAGACCGGAAGGACUGGUGGAGUGCUUAGAAGUGAGGAUGCCGGUAUGAGUAGCGAAAGACGGGUGAGAAUCCCGUCCACCGAAUGCCUAAGGUUUCCUGAGGAAGGCUCGUCCGCUCAGGGUUAGUCAGGACCUAAGCCGAGGCCGACAGGCGUAGGCGAUGGACAACAGGUUGAUAUUCCUGUACCACCUCUUUAUCGUUUGAGCAAUGGAGGGACGCAGAAGGAUAGAAGAAGCGUGCGAUUGGUUGUGCACGUCCAAGCGGUUAGGCUGAUAAGUAGGCAAAUCCGCUUAUCGUGAAGGCUGAGCUGUGAUGGGGAAGCUCCUUAUGGAGCGAAGUCUUUGAUUCCCUGCUGCCAAGAAAAGCUUCUAGCGAGAUAAAAGGUGCCUGUACCGCAAACCGACACAGGUAGGCGAGGAGAGAAUCCUAAGGUGUGCGAGAGAACUCUGGUUAAGGAACUCGGCAAAAUGACCCCGUAACUUCGGGAGAAGGGGUGCUUUCUUAACGGAAAGCCGCAGUGAAUAGGCCCAAGCGACUGUUUAGCAAAAACACAGCUCUCUGCGAAGCCGUAAGGCGAAGUAUAGGGGGUGACACCUGCCCGGUGCUGGAAGGUUAAGGAGAGGGGUUAGCGUAAGCGAAGCUCUGAACUGAAGCCCCAGUAAACGGCGGCCGUAACUAUAACGGUCCUAAGGUAGCGAAAUUCCUUGUCGGGUAAGUUCCGACCCGCACGAAAGGUGUAACGAUUUGGGCACUGUCUCAACCAGAGACUCGGUGAAAUUAUAGUACCUGUGAAGAUGCAGGUUACCCGCGACAGGACGGAAAGACCCCGUGGAGCUUUACUGUAGCCUGAUAUUGAAUUUUGGUACAGUUUGUACAGGAUAGGCGGGAGCCUUUGAAACCGGAGCGCUAGCUUCGGUGGAGGCGCUGGUGGGAUACCGCCCUGACUGUAUUGAAAUUCUAACCUACGGGUCUUAUCGACCCGGGAGACAGUGUCAGGUGGGCAGUUUGACUGGGGCGGUCGCCUCCUAAAGUGUAACGGAGGCGCCCAAAGGUUCCCUCAGAAUGGUUGGAAAUCAUUCGUAGAGUGCAAAGGCAUAAGGGAGCUUGACUGCGAGACCUACAAGUCGAGCAGGGACGAAAGUCGGGCUUAGUGAUCCGGUGGUUCCGCAUGGAAGGGCCAUCGCUCAACGGAUAAAAGCUACCCCGGGGAUAACAGGCUUAUCUCCCCCAAGAGUCCACAUCGACGGGGAGGUUUGGCACCUCGAUGUCGGCUCAUCGCAUCCUGGGGCUGUAGUCGGUCCCAAGGGUUGGGCUGUUCGCCCAUUAAAGCGGUACGCGAGCUGGGUUCAGAACGUCGUGAGACAGUUCGGUCCCUAUCCGUCGUGGGCGUAGGAAAUUUGAGAGGAGCUGUCCUUAGUACGAGAGGACCGGGAUGGACGCACCGCUGGUGUACCAGUUGUUCUGCCAAGGGCAUAGCUGGGUAGCUAUGUGCGGAAGGGAUAAGUGCUGAAAGCAUCUAAGCAUGAAGCCCCCCUCAAGAUGAGAUUUCCCAUAGCGUAAGCUAGUAAGAUCCCUGAAAGAUGAUCAGGUUGAUAGGUUCGAGGUGGAAGCAUGGUGACAUGUGGAGCUGACGAAUACUAAUAGAUCGAGGACUUAACCAU
rnacentral:rRNA from 1 species